rnacentral:other from 1 species
UUCGCCCUGCGGGGCCCGUGAUGGGUACGAUGCGCUUGAGCCAAUGCUCCCGAAAAGGGAACCGGACACGGUUCGUGGUGUGCAAGCCCCCCGUUUCGAGGGGGAAGCCUGAAGCGAGCCUUGGGUCCCCACCUGGAAAACCAGGUUCAACCAUCUAGCCCACACGACCCUGUGGGGUCUCU